rnacentral:rRNA from 1 species
GACGAACCGUGCAAACGUUGUUCGGAAUCACUGGGCUUAAAGGGCGCGUAGGCGGACCCGCCAGUCUGCGGUGAAAGCCCCCAGCUUAACUGGGGAAGUGCCGUGGAUACUGCGGGUCUUGAGGAGGGUAGGGGCAUCUGGAACGCUGGGUGGAGCGGUGAAAUGCGUUGAUAUCCAGCGGAACUCCGGUGGCGAAGGCGAGGUGCUGGACCCUUUCUGACGCUGAGUGCGCGAAAGCCAGGGGAGCAAACGGG